UAUCUCCUGCGGUGUUCGACAGUGUGCUGGGUGUUUCCUGAACCUGUAUUAACCCCGGGGGCUUGUUGCUUAGCUCAUGGUGUGCAUGCUUGUUUUAGACAAGAAGCCUGAAUGGCUAGCCGUGUCUCCACUUGAACUGUCGGUUCAAGGACGAAAGUGCGUAUCGGCACAGGCGGGAGAUAC
rnacentral:other from 1 species